rnacentral:lncRNA from 13 species
UGUUUGUUUUGCAAUAGACUCUACUUCGAAACGGAUCAAUGAUUUGAAUGGUAUGAAAAAUUAUUUAACUUGAGUAACACAGCUAUGUGUACACCCAUGAAAUUUGAUUCUGUCCAUGGGGAAAUUUUCUAAACUGAGAAGUCACCACUUUCUACAUACUUGCAGUUUAUGAUUAAUGUAACGACUAGAGCUUAUUGGUCGUUACCAGUCCCCUCCGACUCAAGCUUUUGCCCGUUCCGUUAAUGACCAAAAAGUUGUAGGUAGCGAUACUACGAGGUGUGAUCAAAAAUUUUGACUAUGGCUGCGGUCCGAUUCACGCUCACAGCGCUCACUGUACUCACGACGCUCAUGAUCGGUCCGAUUCGUUAGCAUGCUUAAGGCGCUUGACGACAAUAAACGUUUCGGACCACUUGUAAACGCUACUCAUAGGGAUAUAACCUAAUAUACCUAAUAUACCUUACAAAUCAGCCUCGAGGAAA